AGGACGAACGCUGGCGGCGUGCUUAACACAUGCAAGUCGAGCGAGGCCCUUCCUUCGGGAAGGUGCCCUAGCGGCGAACGGGUGAGUAACACGUGGGCAACCUGCCCCUAGCACUGGGAUAACUCCGGGAAACCGGGGCUAAUACCGGAUAUGACCUUUGAGGGCAUCCUCGAAGGUGUAAAGGAUUCUGGCUAGGGAUGGGCCUGCGGCCUAUCAGCUUGUUGGUGGGGUAACGGCCUACCAAGGCGACGACGGGUAGCCGGCCUGAGAGGGCGACCGGCCACACUGGGACUGAGACACGGCCCAGACUCCUACGGGAGGCAGCAGUGGGGAAUAUUGCACAAUGGGCGAAAGCCUGAUGCAGCGACGCCGCGUGAGGGAUGACGGCCUUCGGGUUGUAAACCUCUUUCAGCAGGACGAAGCGAAAGUGACGGUACCUGCAGAAGAAGCACCGGCCAACUACGUGCCAGCAGCCGC
rnacentral:rRNA from 1 species